rnacentral:piRNA from 1 species
GCAAUCGGUAUUUUGUCUGUUGAC